AUGAGACUGUAUAGGCAGGUAAGUGCAUUACCAGUCCCAAAUAUCCUCUGCACAGUCAUGAAAAGGGAGGUAGGUGGGGGAUGGGAUCCUAGGACACUGCAUUUAGGCACAUUAACAGUCCCUUGUAUCCCCCUUAGUAAUGCAAAUGGAGUAGGAGGGCAUGGAAAUCUCAACAGAAGAGACUGUAGCUCUAAUUGAGUCCAUUAACUAUUUCGAGUAACCUUGCAGUCAUGCAAUGAACACAGGUAAAUGUAAAAGACUGUAAAUGCAUUUAAGCACGUUAACAGUCUUGGUUACUCUAUGUGGUACUACAAAUCCAGUAAGAAAGAAACUGACGCUAGGUUAACAGGAGGGACUGAAGCUCCAGUUAAGCCCAAGUACCCUCUCAUUAAAACAGAGUUAGGUGGGGAUAGAGUCGGUCCCAGGUAAACAUAACAGACUGUGGAUGCAUUUAAGCACAGCAAGUCUCUUGUACACUCUGGGGUAAUGCAAAUUGACUAGGAGAAAUGGGGUUCUAGACUCAAUAGAAAGGACAGCAGUGCAUUUAAGUCCAUUAACAAGUCCUUGUAGGCUCUUCAGUAAUACAAAGGGAGUUAGGUGGGGAUGGGAUCCUAGAUUAAUAGAAAGGACUGUAGCUAGAUUUAAACACAUUAACAGUCCCAGUUACCUUAUGUGGUAAUACAAAUCCAGUAAGAACGAAAAUGAUUCUAGAUUAACAAAAGGGACUGUGGCUGCAGUAAAGCACAUUAACAGUCCCUUAUACCCUCUUUCAUAAUGCAAAUUAGUAGGAGAUCAUGGGAAAGUAGGCCAACAGAUGAGACUGUAUAGGCAGGUAAGUGCAUUACCAGUCCCAAAUACCCUCUGCAGUCAUGAAACAGUUAGCUGGGGAUAGAAUCCUGUAUUAACAUAAGAGAUUGUAGCUGCUUUUAAGCACAUUAACAGUCUAUGUAUCCAGUGUUAAUGCAAACCAUGUAGGAGUGGAUGGAAACCUAGACUAAUAGAAGGAACUAGCUACUUUUACGGAGAAGGCAAUGGCACCCCCACUCCAGUACUCUUCUGGAAAAUCCCAUGGAUGGAGGAGCCUGGUAGGCUGCAGUCCAUGGGGUCGCUAAGAGUCAGACAUGACUGAGCGACUUUACUUUCACUUUUCACUUUCAUGCAUUGGAGAAGGAAAUGGCAACCCACUCCAGUGUUCUUG
rnacentral:lncRNA from 1 species